rnacentral:rRNA from 1 species
AUUGAACGCUGGCGGCAGGCCUAACACAUGCAAGUCGAGCGGAUGAAGGGAGCUUGCUCCUGGAUUCAGCGGCGGACGGGUGAGUAAUGCCUAGGAAUCUGCCUGGUAGUGGGGGAUAACGUCCGGAAACGGGCGCUAAUACCGCAUACGUCCUGAGGGAGAAAGUGGGGGAUCUUCGGACCUCACGCUAUCAGAUGAGCCUAGGUCGGAUUAGCUAGUUGGUGGGGUAAAGGCCUACCAAGGCGACGAUCCGUAACUGGUCUGAGAGGAUGAUCAGUCACACUGGAACUGAGACACGGUCCAGACUCCUACGGGAUGCAGCAGUGGGGAAUAUUGGACAAUGGGCGAAAGCCUGAUCCAGCCAUGCCGCGUGUGUGAAGAAGGUCUUCGGAUUGUAAAGCACUUUAAGUUGGGAGGAAGGGCAGUAAGUUAAUACCUUGCUGUUUUGACGUUACCAACAGAAUAAGCACCGGCUAACUUCGUG